rnacentral:rRNA from 1 species
UGGGGAAUAUUGGACAAUGGGCGAAAGCCUGAUCCAGCAAUGCCGCGUGAGUGAUGAAGGCCUUAGGGUUGUAAAACUCUUUCGCCGGGGAAGAUAAUGACGGUACCCGGAAAAGAAGCACCGGCUAACUUCGUGCCAGCAGCCGCGGUAAUACGAAGGGUGCUAGCGUUGUUCGGAAUUACUGGGCGUAAAGCGCGCGUAGGCUGUUUUGCAAGUUGGAGGUGAAAUCCCAGGGCUUAACCCUGGAACUGCCUUCAAAACUGCGAGGCUAGAGUAUGGGAGAGGUGAGUGGAAUUCCGAGUGUAGAGGUGAAAUUCGUAGAUAUUCGGAAGAACACCAGUGGCGAAGGCGGCUCACUGGACCAUAACUGACGCUGAGGCGCGAAAGCGUGGGGAGCAAACAGG